AUUCAGCUGACGAGUCUCAAAUAGGACGAAACGCGGGUCCCGGUU
rnacentral:hammerhead_ribozyme from 1 species